CUCCCCUCCCCUUUCCCUCCUCUCCCCUCCCCUUUCUCUCCUCUCCCCUCCUCUUCCCCUCUCCUCUCCUCCCCUCCCCCCCCUUCCCUUCCCUUCUUUUCCUUUUUUGAAGAUAAAAUCUCACUCUGUUGCCCAGGCUGGAGUGCAGUGGUAUGAUCUCGGCUCACUGCAGGCUCAACCUCCUGGGCUCAAGCAAUCCUCCCACCUCAGUCUCCAGAGUAGAGAUGAAGUUUUGCCAUAUUGCCCCAGACUGGUCUCAAACUUCUGAGCUCAAGCAAUCUGCCUGAUUCAGCCUCCCAAAGUGCUGAGAUUCCAGGUGUGAGCCAUUACACCUGGAAAAAAGAGGCUGCCUUUUUCAUCUCUCCUGUUUUCGAGAUUUUUGAUGCUGCCAUGCCCUCUCCCAUUUUUUUGCCCCUAUGGUUUAUACCUUUAAGACAAAGUUCAUUGUCUUUUGUUUUAAUGAGGAGCUGGAAGAGAACAAAAGAAGAAAGCACAUGUGUUUAACGCUAUCUAUCUGGUGAGAGUUCAAGAUUUCAACAUUUUAAGAUAAUCUGAAAAAAAUUGGAAUGUGCCCCCAGCUGCGCUACUGGUGACUUCUUCAACAGUUGAGAAACUGAACUAUGUGUUCAUGAAAAUACUCCAUCAUUAAAGUUUAUGCAAUACUCUCUCAACACUGUUUAUCAAAGGAACCAAUAUGGAAGGAAAAACAUUGCUUUGAAGGGAAGAUGGAUGGAUCCCCUAGUAAACUACAGCUUGAGGUGCAAUUUCCUAAAGUUCAAAUGCCUGAAAAAGGAAACGAAAGAAAGAAACUCAACUCUUGAGACAGCUUCAAUGCUAGCUUUGAUCUCAAUUAUAGAGUUAUUUAUGAAAAGUGCAUUUUUACAACUAAAAAUAAAUUAGGAUCAAAAGCUUCUAGAGGCUAUACUAUGGAGUGCUUAAUAAAAAGUUGAGUAAAGAGUAAUGAAUGGCUUUGUACUAUUAAUUUGAAAGAAUUACCUUCUCUUUUAAACAGCUGCCAAGAUAGUGAAGAUUGACAUGUCACAGGAAAUUAAAACAAAUGGUUUCUAGUCCUGUAUGCCUUGGUGGGUAAACAGUAGGAUAGAGCCCUUACCUGGGAAGCUGUGGGCUGGACUCUACCUCUAACUGUGUGCAACCAUUAAAGGAGCAACCUUCAGCAAGUUUAUUUAACUCUCUGGGCCUCAAAUUACCUACUCCUAAAGUGCACGAGAAGAACUAGUUCUUCUCUGAAAUUCUUCCUGUCUCCAAUGGCCUGUUCCUUAGUUCCUGUUAACUAAGCAUACUCACACUCUAAUAAAUACAUGUAAAAUCUUACCCCUUAUAGAAAUAGUUUUUUUAAAAAAAGAAUAAUCAGUUUUAAAUUUAAAUCAUAGGUCUAUUCACUCAAUGGACAUUGUUGGGAUUCAGUGUAGAAAAAGCACAAAGGAUGAACUUCCAGUCAACUUUCAGUAUUUGCAUAAACACGACACAAUUGUAGAUUAUCAAGAAAUAGUUUUUAUCAGACUAAAAUACUCUAAUGAAUGAUUUCAUAGUCUUUUGGCUGUUUAAUUAAAUUCAGUGAAUAAAUCAUUUCUUAUUCUCUAGGUAACAAUGAAAAAACAUCUCAGAAUAGUAUAGAACAGCAAAAGGAAUUGAAAGAUGGUGCUGAGGAUGAUAGAUGAUAGACAGACAGACAGACAGACAGACAGACAGAUAGAUAGAUAGAUAGAUAUUGAUAGAGAGAUAGAUAAGACAUAUAGAUAGAAUCCACUAUGUAGAAAAUGUCUCCUGUGGAUACUGGAAAGUAGCUACCUAUCUCAGGGAAAACAAUGGCAAACCCAUGAAUAAGCUGAUAGCUUUGACUAAUAGGAUAUCUUAGUUGCUGGGUUAAAAUAUGAGACUUGUGUUCAGAUUACAGUAUCUUUCAUUUUUAUAAGAGAACCUUUUUUUUUGAGAAAACAUAUGUCACGUUCACACAAUCUGGAAAUGAAUAUUCUUAUUCCUACCCCAAUCUCAUUUUCUUUUCUAGUUUUUUUUUUUUUUUUUUCCUGUUCUUUGCAGCUCACAGGGAUAAGGCAGGCAGAGUAGGAGGUAAAGGAAGAGUACUCAUGCCAAUAUGGCUCUUUGAGUAAUUACCCUGCAGAUGAGUUCCUCCAAGCACUAAAGGAGUGAGUCAGAUCCUCCCUUUGCCAUUCAGGUUCCCUGAAGUACGUCUGAAGGAAAAUAACAGGUCAUCCAGUCUUUUUCCAAUUUGGAGCUGUUGAAUUGCCACUGUUGUACUCCUUCCAUAUCUGAG
rnacentral:lncRNA from 10 species